rnacentral:lncRNA from 1 species
GUCUAGUUUAGAGGUAUGGGAUAACUCUGUCUUAUAUUUGAUUUACACACACACACUAGAUAUGCGCUUUUGGUCAUGAAUUUUUACGUACAACUAGGUUGACAUGCGUAAGUUAUAGUUUAGAUAAACAUAUUAAUAAAUCUAUAAAUUUAGUUAUACAGAAAAUAUAAAGUUGUCUUCGCCUUCCUUCAAUCAUAUAGAAUAGUUUCACUUCACAUUGAUAGUGACAAGGCGCAAUUUGUGUGCUAAGGACGUCCCCAAUAAUUUCCAAAUAGCUAUUCUAGGAAGAAUUUCAUUGACUAUCAAGAAGAGAGAUCAAAUAGUCAGUGACUCCCAAAUAGCCAGUCUACCACGACCUACUAGAAACAUCUCUCUCACAACUAACUCCUUACUAUAAUGCUUAUUUUCUAUUAUUUCUAUGUCUUAUCUAGUUAGUUAUUUAUAAAUUACCAUUGCGAACGCCUAAGCACUACAUGGAUUCUCUCAGUCCUAUAGGGUGUUUUUUUGCCCCACAGGUCUCAGGUUUGGGACUGGAUCGGGUCAUGUGCAAGAGCAGAUUUUAAAGCAAGUCCAAUACAACUUAUCUAUAAGCUAUGCCAAGUCAUCAAUACACAUGUUUAGAGUCUAGCACAAAUAAUAUACAAAUAAUAUUUAGUCUUUUUAUAGUCUAAAUAUUAUUUUUUAUUCAAUAUGUAAAGAUAGAAAGGCAAGAGGUAACCUCUAUGGAUAGAAAACAUCUUAGCAUAUGUGACGAGUUGAUCGACAAAACUAACGUCAAGCAUAGCUUUCUCUCUCUUCUUUUUGACUAACAUGGCAAUUGAAUCAGACUAUUAUUGUACAUACUUUUAUUAUUUUUACAGUGGCGCUGGACCCGAGCCUAGCGAUCCACGAGCACUCGCACGGGCAAUGUGAGGUCGAGUUUGAGUUUAGCUGCAGCAACAUGCAGUCCAUUGUUCGCAUCCAGCGGAGACCUCAACCUCCUCGACGCCGCUGCUAACUUGUAUUUUUUCGAUUUUAUUUGAUUUGGUUUGAUAUUUUUAUUUUUUCGAUUCAGAUUUAGAAUGAUUUGAUAUCUGAUUUGGAGGAGCGAGGCAAAAAAACCGAGGGCGAGCUAAGUAGGCGGGGCAUUCUUCUUAUUUGACUUGUAUUUUUUUUCCCUGAUUUCAUUGAUUUGGUUUGAUAUUUUUAUUUUUUUCCAAUUCAGAUCUGAAACAAUUUGAUUUGAUUUGAUUUGAUAUCCAAUUGUAAUUUGGAGGGGUGAGGCAAAAGAUCCAAGGGCGAGCUAAGCAGGGCAGGGCAAUGUGCUUAUUUGACUUGUAUUUUUUUUUCUGAUUUCAUUUGAUUUGGUUUGAUAUUUUCUCUUUUUGGACUCAGACUUAGAAUGAUUUGAUUUGAUAUGCUAUUAUGAUUUGAAGGAGCAAGUCCAAAAAUCCAAGGACGAGCUGAGCAUAGUGGGAUGGUAUGAUGAUACCUCUGUGUAUUUUUUAGGUGUAGAUAGAUAUAUUCCUUAUACUCCCUCUAGUCAAACGAGCUCAAUUUCAAUCAAAUAUAUAUAAUAGAUUAGUAAUAUUUAUAGUGUGUGAUAAGUUUCAUUAGAUUAAUUAUUGAAUAUAUUUUUAUAAUAUAAUUAUUUAGAGAUAUAAAUAUUACUAAUACUUUUUAUAAAUCUAAUCAAACUUAAAAAAAUUACAUAACAUGGAAAUCUAGGCGUCACUUAGAAAUUAAAGGAACCACGGGAGUACUUGGGUAAGAACAAUUGAAGGUAAGAUAAAGACACAUACAUGUGGAGUCCACCUAUGAGUUUUCUGUUUUUAUUCUUCUUUGUCCUAAUCCUUUCUUCUUUCUUUUUCAUUAAAAUUUGUUUUAUUUACUAAUAAACAUGUUGUAACAGUACAUAUUGUAUGAUGCUCGUGCCAAUGGUAAUAAGCUAGUUAUUUUGUUGAAUUCAAUUAGGCUUGGUCAACCUUAAAUCAAAUAAAUUCCAAUGCUUAUAAUACUAGUGUAAUAAAGGAGUCCGCAUGAAAAAUUGAUAUUGACUCAAUUAAAAUAAGUGAUUAUUCUUAUUAUAUGUAUAAUUUAUAAAUUUUAUAAGAGGUGGAAGACGAAUCACACGCCCGCAUAUGCAUUAUGGUAUGAGCAAGCUCAAAUGGCUAGGCCAUAACAUCAGUCAUGUUAGAGUAUCUCCAAGAGUCUUUCUAAAUCUCACUCUCUAAAUUAUCAUUUGGAGAGUCAUUU